GAUCAAGCUACUAAGGGCGUUAGGUGGAUGCCUUGGCACAAGAAGGCGAUGAAGGACGUGGUAAGCUGCGAUAAGCGUCGGAGAGGAGCAAACAUCCGUAGACCCGGCGAUGUCCGAAUUGGGAAACCAGAUCAGGGUCAUGCCUGAUCGCAAAUGCGACAACCCAGGGAACUGAAACAUCUAAGUACCUGGUGGAAAAUAAAUCAACCGAGAUUUCCAGAGUAGCGGCGAGCGAAAUGGAAAGAGCCUAAACCCGCGUUGUGUGAAAGCGUUGCAGCGUUGCAGCGUGGGGGUCAUGGGGCUAGACAGGGUCGUGCAACCGAUCCGAAAGAGUUACAAAACUUAUACAUAGUCGAACCGUCUGGGAAGUCGGAGCGCAGAGGGUGAAACUCCCGUAGGCGAAAUGUAUAAGUCUCUUGUCAUAGUUCCCGAGUAGGGCGGGGCACGUGAAACCCUGCUUGAAGUUGGGUGGACCAUCAUCCAAGGCUAAAUACUCUCUUGUGACCGAUAGUGAACCAGUACCGUGAGGGAAAGGUGAAAAGCACCCCGGGAGGGGAGUGAAAUAGUACCUGAAACCUAACGCUUACAAGCUGUAGGAGCUCCGCAAGGAGUGACUGCGUACCUUUUGCAUAAUGGUCUGGCGAGUUACUCGUCACUGGCAAGGUUAAGUGUCUAAGACACGGAGCCGCAGCGAAAGCGAGUCUGAAUAGGGCGAAUAGUCAGUGGCGGUAGACGCGAAGCCGGGUGAGCUACGCAUGGCCAGGAUGAAGUCAGGGUAACACCUGAUGGAGGUCCGAACUAAUUGGGGUUGAAAACCCACUGGAUGAGCUGUGCGUAGGGGUGAAAGGCCAAACAAACUCGGAGAUAGCUCGUACUCCCCGAAAUAUAUUGAGGUAUAGCCUCAGGGCGUGAGUGCUGGAGGUAGAGCACUGGAAAGGUUAGGGCCGUCACCACGGUACCGUCCCUUACCAAACUCCGAAUGCCAGCCACUUGGACCCUGGGAGUCAGCCUACGUGGGAUAAGCUGUGUGGACGAGAGGGGAAGAACCCAGACCGCCAUUUAAGGCCCCAAAGUGAUACCUAAGUGAUUAAAGAGGUGGGUCCGCAAAAACAACCAGGAUGUUGGCUUAGAGGCAGCCACCAUUUAAAGAGUGCGUAAUAGCUCACUGGUCGAGUAGAUCUGCGCUGAAAAUCCACGGGACUCAAGGUAUCCGCCGAAAGUGCGGGAAACAAUUUAUUGUUUCGGUAGGGGAGCAUUCCAGUUGCCAACGAAGCGGUAGCGUGAGCAGCCGUGGAGGUCCUGGAAGAGAUUAUGCCAGAAUGAGUAGUGAGAAAACAGGUGAGAAACCUGUUCACCGUAAGCCCAAGGGUUCCUGGGUAAAGUUAAUCUUCCCAGGGUUAGUCGGUCCCUAAGUCGCCGCCGAAUGGCAUAGACGAUGGGAACCAUGUUAAUAUUCAUGGACCGCCGAAAGUUCGUUUGUACGAUGGGGUGACGCAGAAGUGAAAGGACAGCCGGGUGCUGGAAAUCCCGGUUCAAGGUCGUAGGCUGGUCAGUAGGCAAAUCCGCUGACUAAGGCCGAAAGCCGAAUACGAGAGCUUAGCUCAUAAAGUGUCCCUAAUCAUGCUGCCUGGAAAAACCUCUAAGGAGAGCUAAGGCGACCGUACCCGAAACCGACUCAGGUGGGCGAGGAGAGUAUCCUAAGGUGCUCGAGAGAACCAAGGUAAAGGAACUCGGCCAACUAACUCCGUAACUUCGGAAGAAGGAGUGCCCGCGCAAGCGGGUCGCAGUGAAGAGGCCCAGGCGACUGUUUACCAAAAACACAGGGCUCUGCGAAGUCGUAAGACGACGUAUAGGGCCUGACACCUGCCCGGUGCUGGAAGGUUAAGGGGAUCUGUCAUGACGCAAGUCGGCAGCAGUGAACCGAAGCCCCAGUAAACGGCGGCCGUAACUAUAACGGUCCUAAGGUAGCGAAAUUCCUUGUCGGGUAAGUUCCGACCUGCACGAAUGGUGUAACGAUCUGGGCGCUGUCUCUACCUUGGACUCGACGAAAUUGCAAUCUCAGUGAAGAUACUGGGUUCCCGCGGCAGGACGGAAAGACCCCGUGGACCUUUACUAUACCCUGACACUGACAUUUAGCUUUUGAUGUGUAGGAUAGGUGGGAGGCUUUGAAGCUGGCGCGCUAGCGUCGGUGGAGCCAACGUUGAAAUACCACCCUUUAACUGUUGAAUGUCUAACCUAGGCAACGCCAGAGACACUGUCAGGCGGGUAGUUUGACUGGGGCGGUCGCCUCCCAAAAUGUAACGGAGGCGCCCAAAGGUUCCCUCAGCACGGUCGGCAAUCGUGCAUAGAGUGCAAAGGCAUAAGGGAGCUUGACUGCAAGACAAACAAGUCAAGCAGGUAGGAAACUAGGGCUUAGUGAUCCGGCGGUAGUGAAUGGAAAUGCCGUCGCUCAUCGGACAAAAGGUACCCCGGGGAUAACAGGCUUAUCGCCGCCAAGAGUUCACAUCGACGCGGCGGUUUGGCACCUCGAUGUCGGCCCGUCACAUCCUGGGGCUGGAGAAGGUCCCAAGGGUUUGGCUGUUCGCCAAUUAAAGUGGCACGCGAGCUGGGUUCAGAACGUCGUGAGACAGUUCGGUCCCUAUCCGCCGUGGGCGUAGGAAUCUUGAGGAGUGCUGUGCUUAGUACGAGAGGACCGGCAUGGACGAACCUCUGGUGUACCAGUUGUGGCGCCAGCUGCAGCGCUGGGUAGCUAGGUUCGGAUCGGAUAAACGCUGAAAGCAUCUAAGUGUGAAACCGACUCCAAGAUUAGGAUUCCCUGAAGACCCCUUGAAGAUGACAAGGUUGAUAGGCUACAGGUGUAAGUGUGGUAACACAUUCAGCCGAGUAGUACUAAUAGGUCGUUCGGCUUGAUCAA
rnacentral:rRNA from 1 species